GACAGAGGUGCCGAGCGUUAGGCGGAAUCACUGGGCUUAAAGCGUGUGUAGGCGGACUUCUAAGUACCUUGUGAAAUCCCACGGCUCAACCGUGGAACUGCUUGGUAUACUGGUUGUCUUGAGCCACUUAGGGGCAGUCGGAACAGACGGUGGAGCGGUGAAAUGCGUAGAUAUCGGAAGGAACAUCAGUGGCGAAAGCGGCUUCCUGGACCAGUACCGACGUUCCGGCACGAAAGCGUGGGGAGCAAACAGG
rnacentral:rRNA from 1 species